UACGGAGGGGGCGAGUGUUGUUCGGAAUUACUGGGCGUAAAGGGCGCGCAGGCGGCCUGGCAAGUCGAGUGUGAAAUCCCUUGGCUUAACUGAGGAAUGGCGCUCGAAACUACCUCGCUGGAGGGCGGGAGAGGGAAGUGGAACUCUCGGUGUAGGGGUGAAAUCUGUAGAUAUUCGGAAGAACACCAGUGGCGAAGGCGGCUCACUGGUCCGGUACUGACGCUGAGGUGCGAAAGCGUGGGGAGCAAACAGG
rnacentral:rRNA from 1 species